UAAUUUUAUCAUUUACUAUAAUCAUAAUAAACGCCAAUAAUAAUUAAUUAUUUCAAAUUCAUCAAAUCCUUGACAAUGUCUGCCAAAAUUGCGAUCUUUUUCACCCUCCUGAUUUUGGGAGCCUUAAUUUAUCACUCUGCAGCUGCCGUGGUUAAGCCGGAGGAUGGCCCCUUCGACUGUCCCGAUGGGCAGGGAUGGGCUUGCUGGGGAAAUCGAGGGACUCGAAAUGAUAAUUGCAUUGCUCGUGGAUGGAAUAGCUGGUGGGAGCAGUCUGGUGGAUUUCUUGGUCUUGAUACGUGUUAUUGCUGCAAGGAGUGAGAAAUUGGGUGCAAAAAUUAAAAUUUACAUGUAUUUAAUUUUAAGUUAUGUAAAAUAAUUAUGUAGUGUGUGGAAUAAGGAAAAUUAAAUGAAUUUUAACAAACAGAAAA